rnacentral:rRNA from 1 species
UACAGAGGUCUCAAGCGUUGUUCGGAUUCAUUGGGCGUAAAGGGUGCGUAGGCGGCGCGGUAAGUCGGGUGUGAAAUCGUCGGAGCUUAACUCCGAAACUGCAUUCGAUACUGCCGUGCUUGAGGACUGGAGAGGAGACUGGGAAUUUACGGUGUAGCGGUGAAAUGCGUAGAGUAUCGUAAGGAAGACCAGUGGCGAAGGCGG